rnacentral:rRNA from 1 species
UACGUAGGGUGCAAGCGUUGUCCGGAAUUAUUGGGCGUAAAGAGCUCGUAGGCGGUUCGUCGCGUCGGCUGUGAAAACCUGAGGCUCAACCUCAGGCCUGCAGUCGAUACGGGCGGACUUGAGUACUGCAGGGGAGACUGGAAUUCCUGGUGUAGCGGUGAAUGCGCAGAUAUCAGGAGGAACACCGGUGGCGAAGGCGGGUCUCUGGGCUGACACUGACGCUCGAUGCACGAAAGCGUGGGGAGCAAACAGG